rnacentral:rRNA from 1 species
CUUGCUUUCUCGAGCGAGUGGCGAACGGGUGAGUAACGCGUGAGGAACCUGCCUCAUACAGGGGGAUAACAGUUGGAAACGACUGCUAAUACCGCAUAAGCGCACAGGAUUGCAUGAUCCGGUGUGAAAAACUCCGGUGGUGUGAGAUGGACCCGCGUCUGAUUAGCUAGUUGGUGAGGUAACGGCUUACCAAGGCAACGAUCAGUAGCCGACUUGAGAGAGUGAUCGGCCACAUUGGGACUGAGACACGGCCCAAACUCC